CCCUCCUUUCUACUGUGGCAGGCUGGCAGCCUCAUUUCUCUAAUCUCUAGAGGCCACCGCUCCUAUCCCUUUCUCUUUCUCUCGUAGGGCUUGGCCCGAUACUCCAUUUCUCUCUCCCUUUUUCCAUUUCCUUGCUUGUUUUCUUGUCCAUUGUGCGAUAAUAUCUCUCUAGGCUUGGGUGAAGAACCAAACGGCAGCUAGGACAAUCAAUCUGCACCGAGAAUUGACAACGAAGGAAAACGAGCAGAAGAUAUGGGCUUGAGAGAACUGAAAACGAGCAGAAGAUGUUAGAAUAAGAAAAGUGCUGAAUGUGGAGGCAGCAGCUGCAAGUCUGGUACAAUGUUGUUGCCACGGCUGAUAUGAUCAUCAUGAUCCUGCUGCUCUAAGGUGAUGGCAUUUUGUGGUGUAUGUUGCUCCAAUACCCCCCCGCAAGAUGGAGAAUAGAUAUUUGCUAUUCCCAUCUUGGAGAGGUGUGAAUAAAGAAGAUGAGAUGGCAAAGACUUGGUGAAUAUAUCAGCUAAUUGUGAGAGAGUUGGAACAUGAGCAGUUUUUAUACUGCCUUCAAGAAUUUUGUCUCGGAUCAAAUGACAGUCAACUUCAAUAUGUUUGGUUCUUUCAUGAAAAACGUGGUUAGCUGCUAUGUGAAUUGCAGCUUGAUUAUCACAAUAUAAAUCAGCAGCUUGUGGAUGAGCAAUGGACAGAUCAGAUAGGAGCUGCUUGAGCCAAGUGAAUUCUGAUGUAAUGGAGGCCAUGGCUCGAUAUUCUGCCUCAGCAGAGGAUCGAGAUACAACCGUUUGUUUCUUUGAUUUAUAUGAAAUGAGAGAGUGGCCCAAGAAAAUACAAUAACCAGUGACAGAUUUUCUUGUGUCAGGACAUGAUGCCCAGUCAGAAUCGCAAUAGCCUUUGAGCUGAAUUGGAGAUGUGGAGGAUAGAAGGAUACCUUGACCAGGGGCAUUUUUAAUGUAUCUGAGAAUUUUGUGGGCAGCAGCAAGGUGACUGGAAGUGGGAUGGUCUAAAAACUGACUAAGAACAUGAGUAGGGUAACUAAUGUUUGGUCUGGUUAUAGUGAGGUAUAACAAUCUGCCUAUGAGGCGCCUGUAAACUGUAGGAUCAGUUAAGGGGGAACCAGAAGAUCUACUAAGUUUAUGAUUUUGGUCCAUUGGAAUUUUUAAUGGUUUGGAAGCAAGAAGUCCAGAGUCUGCAAGAAUGUCUAAAUUGUAUUUUCUUUGACAAAGAUGAAUGCCAGCAGGUGAUCUAGCAACUUCAAUGCCUAGAAAAUACCUUAAAGAACCAAGGUCUUUGAUCUUAAAAUGGUGAUUGAGAAAAGCUUUGAGAAUAGAAAUAGAAUGAAUGGAAUUGCUAGCCACUACUAUGUCAUCCACAUAGACUAGAAGGGCUAUGAAGGUGUCACCAUUUGUGCAAGUAAAGAGGCUAUAAUCAGCCUUUGAUUGAGUAAAGCCAAAAUGAAUGAGUGAUUGAGAAAAUUUUUCAUACCAUUGGCGUGAGGCUUGUUUAAGGCCAUAGAGACUUUUGAGCAAUUUGCAAACUUGAGUGGGAGAACCUUUGCUAUAUCCAGGAGGUUUCUUCAUGUAAAUUUCUUCAUGGAGAUCACCAUGGAGGAAUGCAUUAUUGACAUCAAACUGUUGAAGAUGCCAUCCAUGAACAGCUGCUAAGGCAAGAAGGGUUCUCACAGUGACCAUUUUUACAACUGGUGAAAAAGUCUCGUGGUAGUCAAUACCCUCUUUUUGAGUGAAACCUCUAGCAACCAACCUAGCCUUUUUUCUCUCAACAGUACCAUUGGAGUGGUAUUUUGUUUUGUAAACAUAUUUACAAUCAAUGGGAAUUUUUCCAGGGGGUAACUCAGUAAGAACCCAUGUAUUGUUUAAUUCUAAAACUGCAAUCUCAGUUUCCAUUGCCUUACACCAGUCAACAUCUUUUAUGGCUUGUUUGUAAGUGGAUGGAUCAUUGUGUGAAGAAAUUGUUGCAGAAAAAAAAGAAUAACUAGGUGACAGGUUAUUAUAAGAAAUGGAUGAAGAUAUAGGGAAUGGUAUACCUGAACAUGAAGAUGAUGAAACCAUAGAUUAAGUGGGUGAGAUAGAAGAAAGGUGCUGGCAAUGGAAGUCUUGAAGAUAUUGUGGUGCUCUUCUUGUUCUUGUUGAUCUUUUGAGAACAGGUUGAGGAGAAGGAUCUGAAGGUGGUGACAAAAUUGGAGGUGAGGUAGGAGGAAUGAGUUCAGGAGGUAAAGGUUGUAAGGGAGAGGAUGAUGAAGAAGAUGGCAUAGAAUUGUUGGUAAGUGGUGUAGAAGUCAGAAGAGAAUCAGUGGGCAGAAUGUGAGGGGAAGGGGGAGAAAAGUUAUUAAAAACUGGGAGAGGUGAAGGAGCAGUGGGUGUAGGAAGGGCUUGAAGAUGAAAAGGAAAAAUAUGCUCAUAAAAGAUGACAUCUCGUGAAAUAAAAACUGCAUUAGUGUCAAGGUCAAGUAGUUUAUAUCUUUUGAUGCCAAAAGGAUACCCAAGAAAAAGGCAUUUCCUACCUCGAGGGUCAAACUUUUUUCUGUUAUGGGAUAAUGUUGAUGCAAAACAUAGACAACCUAAAAUUGAGUUCAGUCCAAAGUUGUCUAGCAUCAUCAACAAGUGCAAUGCUAGACUUCAGAGUUGGACUAAUUGAGUUUUGAAUCCAUGAUACAACAAGAUCAUUGCAUCGAUCCCAUGCAUCAGAUAGAAGGUCAGUGGGAGUUUGUGGUUUUAACAAAGUGCCAUUGAUAAAACCAAGUUUAUUUUUGGCUCUAAGAGCUCUGCACAUAGCUCUUGACCAGGUUAUGUAAUUGUCUGUGGUAAGAGGGUCAGGAACCAAAGGAAGGGAAGGAUUGUCCCCAUGGUCAAGUCGAUAGGGGUUGAGAAUGUUUGUAAAAUCUGUAAAUAAAGUACUAGUGGGUUUUAUUGGAGGAGUGGAUGGUGUGGUUCGAGGAGUGGAUGGAGGUGAUGUAGGAGGAGAUUCAGUAGUCAUGGAAGAAAAUUUGCAAUGUAAAAUCUGGAGUUUUCAGGCUCAUGAUACCAUGUUAGAAUAAGAAAAGGUAGAACUUGACAAAAAGGGAAUUCUGGUAUCUUGUAUUUUAAUCGUAAUGGUAAAGUUUACAGACUACUAUCUAUAUAUAGCAAAAGCUACUGCCAGCUGACAGACUGGAGAAUAAAGAAAUAUUUGUACAAUUUACUAACUAACUCUGAAAAUACAAAAUAGUACAUGACACUUCAUCUAUUUGAGGGACUUUCUAGUAAUUUAUUCACAAUGGAAUCUUUGUUGAUAAGUGCUGAAUGUGGAGGCAGCAGCUGCAAGUCUGGUACAAUGUUGUUGCCACGGCUGAUAUGAUCAUCAUGAUCCUGCUGCUCUAAGGUGAUGGCAUUUUGUGGUGCAUGUUGCUCCAAUAGAAGAUAUGGCCUUCAGAGAACUGAAAACGAGCAGAAGAUAGGGCCUUGAGAGAACUGCAAGGGAAAUGGUGAUUCCUUAUAUGCCAAUGUUGAUGCCCCCGAUCAAGUGGACAUGUUGCGAUGAAGGAGGGCACUUGUAUUUGAUUUUUUGGGCUGGAAGCCAUUGCUGGAACUGUUGGUUGUUUUGUGUAUAAUACAGAAGAAUGUUUGCCUGAGUUGGGUUCUUAAUUGGGUAAUCAGGUGUGGUUUUUAUUGUGUCAUCUAAUUGAGCUAACUGAUUUGGUGCAAUUACAGAAUUGAUUAAUUAUGCUUGUUGUAACCCAUGGCCAAUUUGAGAUUUGGUGGAAUUAUGUACAUAUUGACAGUGUAGGAUUGAUGUAAACAAUAAUUUAAUUAUAAUAUGAUUAUUAAUUAACAUGUGGUGAUAUGCAAAA